GGGGAUGACCGGCUUCGAUAAAGAGCGGUCCUGCAUUUGCGAGCCGAUGGCGACGACGUAAUCGUCGCAAAACUAAUAACUGCCAACUCAAAAGUUGCUGCUCCGGGGAUCACAAUGCCGCAUUUUGCGUACGCGUGACCCUAGGGGAUCGGACGGCUCGGGCCUCUUGAGCUGAUACCGGUCUUAUACAAGGAGGCUGGUUCCUGCGCCCACGAUUCUAAGCGCGGAACGAGAAACAGAAUCGCGGUUUAACUCGUUUAAACUACGCUCGUAGACGGUGCAGCGAUACUCUCUUUAGACGGCGGUUCAAUUCCGCCCAUCUCCACCA
rnacentral:tmRNA from 1 species